rnacentral:rRNA from 1 species
AUUGAACGCUGGCGGCAGGCUUAACACAUGCAAGUCGAGCGGAGAUGAGGUGCUUGCACCUUAUCUUAGCGGCGGACGGGUGAGUAAUGCUUAGGAAUCUGCCUAUUAGUGGGGGACAACAUUCCGAAAGGAAUGCUAAUACCGCAUACGUCCUACGGGAGAAAGCAGGGGAUCUUCGGACCUUGCGCUAAUAGAUGAGCCUAAGUCGGAUUAGCUAGUUGGUGGGGUAAAGGCCUACCAAGGCGACGAUCUGUAGCGGGUCUGAGAGGAUGAUCCGCCACACUGGGACUGAGACACGGACCAGACUCCUACGGGAGGCAGCAGUGGGGAAUAUUGGACAAUGGGGGGAACCCUGAUCCAGCCAUGCCGCCUGUGUGAAGAAGGCCUUAUGGUUGUAAAGCACUUUAAGCGAGGAGGAGGCUACUGAGACUAAUACUCUUGGAUAGUGGACGUUACUCGCAGAAUAAGCACCGGCUAACUCUGUGCCAGCCGCCGCGGUAAGAC